UCUAUACCUUGCAUAUUGUGUUAGUGUUAGGAUUGGGACACUUGUCCCCAAUCCAAUGGCUCAUUUCUUUUAUAAAUAUAUGUUUGAGUUUUAAAAGAGAGAAGGGAAGAAAAAUAUUAGGGUUUGGGUUUGAGGGCAGCCACCUUUGGCUGAUUUAGGGAGGUCUCCGGCGCCUCGAAUGGCCGGAAAAUGGGAGAUCUCCGGCGUCUCGAAUGACCGGAAAAUGGGAGGUCCCGAACUCCUCGAAUUGUUCGGUUUAUGUUAGUAAUGAAAUAUUUUAGUUAUUAUGUUUUUUGUGUUUUGAUUGAAUAAGAGCUGGGUUCCUAACAGUUAGCACCACAACCAUGAAGGUCCACUACGGGAAGCCUAUGGAAAAGGACAGAAAAUCAUAGCAGAAGGAGACCACUGCAGGAGAGGAGAGUCUGAAAGCUUUCCCAAUCAAUUGGAGUGGCUGCGUGGCAGAAUGUAAUUGGGGACUUGAGUAAAAACUGUUAGUACAAGGAAAUAAAAAGGAGCAGGUAUAAGAGAUCAUGGCGAAAGAGGGCAUGGCGGUACACUUGUGGGAGACCGUACUAAUCUCCAACACAACCAACAAGAUAUAAAGAUUGACAACAACUGUUGAAGAGGGGAUAAACACUAAUCCUUUUGUGGGUGACAAUCAACAGGUGCCAAAUUGGGAAGAUAAAGAGUUGACACAUGAUGACAUGGAGGAAGAACACGAAGAAUUAAGAGAAGACAAGACCAUUUAUGGAGAUCAAGGUGAGAUCCUACUUGUUUGUAGAUUGUUAGAUGUUGUUGUGACCAAAGUUUCUUCAAGUGUAAGUUUUCUCAAGUCAUUGGAAAUGAAAGCGAAUCGAAAAAAGUUCACAUAGAGAAGAGAAAAGAGCAUGUAGAGGAAAAUUGUAAUGUGGGCAUUCAAAAUUCUGGCAAUACGGAUAAUUUUUCAGUUGUUGGUGCAAAGGAUGACAAUCAUGAUGGGAUAGACAACGAAUUUGGUUCAAAUGAUGAACUUCUUGAUGUUCAGUUGACUAACGUAGAAGUUCCCAUAUCUUAUGCAAACAGAUUGAAUGAUUUUAAUUUAAUUGAAGCAAAAGUCCCCAUUUUUUAUGA